rnacentral:tRNA from 1 species
GCGUCCAUGAUGUAGCCCGGUAGCCUGCUGCCUUGCCAUGGCGGAAGCGGGGGUUCAAAUCCCCCUGGACGCU